rnacentral:tRNA from 4 species
UUGUGUAUUGUUGUUGUAAAAACAAGGACUCAUAAUCCUUUGGUCGUAGGUUCAAGUCCUACUGGGCCCACCA